rnacentral:rRNA from 1 species
UACGUAGGGCGCAAGCGUUGUCCGGAAUUAUUGGGCGUAAAGAGCUCGUAGGCUGUCUGUCGCGUCGGCUGUGAAAGCCCGGGGCUCAACCCCGGGUCUGCAGUCGAUACGGGCAGGCUAGAGUGCGGUAGGGGAGACUGGAAUUCCUGGUGUAGCGGUGAAAUGCGCAGAUAUCAGGAGGAACACCGGUGGCGAAGGCGGGUCUCUGGGCCGAUACUGACGCUGAGGAGCGAAAGCGUGGGGAGCGAACAGG